UUGAAUGGAUCUGGUGUUACAUGCGAGGAUAGGUGGGAGGCUUUGACAUUUUUCUCUUGGGAAGUGUGGAGCCAAUGGUGAGAUACCACUCUUGAAUGUUAGAGUUCUAACCCUGGGCGUUAUCUGGUUCGGGAACAGUGUCAGGUGGGCAGUUUGACUGGGGCGGUCGCCUCCUAAAAUGUAACGGAGGCGCGCAAAGGUUUCCUCAGACUGGUUGGAAAUCACUCGUAGAGUGUAAAGGCAUAAGGAAGCUUGAUUGCGAGACCUACAGCUCAAACAAAGACGAAAGUCGGCCUUAGUGAUCCGGCGGUUCCAAGUGGAAGGGCCGUCACUCAACGGAUAAAAGUUACUCUAGGGAUAACAGGCUGA
rnacentral:rRNA from 1 species